rnacentral:misc_RNA from 1 species
GAUGAAGAACGCAGCGAAAUGCGAUAAGUAAUGUGAAUUGCAGAAUUCAGUGAAUCAUCGAAUCUUUGAACGCACAUUGCGCCCGCCAGUAUUCUGGCGGGCAUGCCUGUUCGAGCGUCAUUACAACCCUCAGGCCCCCGGGCCUGGCGUUGGGGAUCGGCGGAGCCCCCCGUGGGCACACGCCGUCCCCCAAAUACAGUGGCGGUCCCGCCGCAGCUUCCAUCGCGUAGUAGCUAACACCUCGCGACUGGAGAGCGGCGCGGCCACGCCGUAAAACACCCAACCCUUCUGAAGUUGACCUCGAAUCAGGUAGGAAUACCCGCUGAACUUAAGCAUAUCAAUAAGCGGAGGA